AAGAUGUGUCCCGUCGCCCGCCGCCGUUUUCCAAAUGUUCCUCUGGAUCUCCCCUGUCUGAUCCACCCAACUAACCUCCUCCUUUCCCCGAUCCAGCGCGCCCGAGCUCCACCUUAUGUGCCCUCCUCCUCGUCGUUUCGGCCGUAGCAGACGAACAGGAGGCCUCACGCCUGCCUCCUCCUCGUUGCCUCGCUCGAACCCAACAAGAGAGGAGCUCCUCCACGUCGUGCUCCUCACCGAGCCCUGCCUCGUCACCGGAGAGGAUCUCCUGCAGGACCUCCGGCCUCCUCCCAUGUUCGGCCGCCGCAGCACCGGAGCUCCCUCCGCCGUCGAGCACCCCCAGCAGAUGAGCCCCGCACUGCCCUUCCUUCCUUUCCAUGUCCUUCUUCCUCUCCCUCUCUCUUCUUUCUCUCUCUGUCACUCAUCGCUCCCUCUGUCUCUUACAGGAACCCGGCGACAUGGCACCCCGAAGCCCUAAGGCCUGAGCACCCACGGGACCACGUCGAGCAGAUGGCCACUGCCCUUCCUUGCAGAUGCUUCGCCGCUUUGAGUCCAGGGACGCCACGACCGUCCUCUUCUUCGGAUCAAGGCGCCGCCCAUCGGAUCCGGUUCCCCUCGGCAUCCACAUCGAGCUCUGGCCCAGUCCAGCCUCGCACCUUCCCCGCCAGGUCCUGUCGCCAUGGCUGCAGGCCUCUUUAUUUCCUCGUUUUCUGAUAAUGUCGCGUUUGUGAGGAUCCGUUCGACUAUGUCUGUUUGUCUUCUUCAUGGACUCGUUCUUUUCCUUGCGGGAUCUCAGG